CCAUGCCAGGGCCACAGAGAAGGCUCAAAUGCUGGGUUUACCGCUAGUGUCAAAUGACCACCAGCCUCACCUGUUCCCUCCAAGAGUUACACGGACUGAAGCACACCGGGAGAAUCACUUGCUAAGUGUCAUAUGAAGCCAGGGCAUCUGGUUCUGCUUUGAGCCAAAUAAUACACAGUGUUUGCAGGUGGGAGGAGGGAUGGUGACUGAACAAUCUACUAAAAAUAUUUCUUAAAGUGUGUCUUUCAUCACACAUGGAGGAGCCCUUUUGUCUGUGUCAUGCACCUUAACCUGCCGCUCGCCCCGCUUCAGGGAGAAUUACAUCCUAAUUCCCGGUCACUUGUUACCUAAUCCUCUUUCCUGACUGCCUCCCACGCCAGAAAACAUUAUAACUUCCUAAAUAUUUAGAUUUUACCAGCCAUGGCAGGUUCUGUAACAACUACCAGUCUCUCCCUUUUUCACGGGAGCUCUGAUGGAAUCUCACUUUUCCAGGAGGUUCUGGUUUUCUUCUGUUUUCCUCUGCUUUCUCUACCCCAUCCUUUAAGAAGAAAACUGAAAGUAUUCAAUAAACAUCACCGAGUGCCCACUGCCUCAAGGAAUUAUAUUUUCCAUGGAAAAUAUUAAAAACUCCCUAAGGGAACUGUAUGUGUUGAAUUAGCAUAAAUGAUACUUCACUUGUUUAAUUAUAUUGUUAAUUAAGUUUUUAGAAGGAAAAGAAAUAACAAAUAUAUAUUUAUGAAGGUAACAAGCAAACUAUAUUGGUGCUUAACAUUUUGACACAUAACAGUAAAUCCUCUUCUAAGAACAGGGAGGCUUUAACAAAUACAUUUAAAAAUAAUUCAAUACUAAGUUACUUUAUAUAGAAACACAAAGGUAAAGCAGAAUUCAUGUA